rnacentral:lncRNA from 1 species
CUCUCCCACAUAGGUAUAGGGAGCCUUGCCUCACCUCCUUUAGGGGUUACUUAAUGUUGCUCUCUCUGGGUCCACUUUUGUCACUGUGCACAACAUUAUAACCCAUAUCCCAAUCUUGUCCAGGUAGUUUUUUUUUCUAUAGUGCAUGUUGCUUCCUGAUGUACACUACAGUUUAUUUUCCCGUGUUGAUUAGUUCUAUGCCUGUAUCACAGAAUGUCACCCCAAAGAGAAGAGCUUCCAGUUUCAAUCCACGAUCUCUCUGCUAUCCAGGAAAGGUUGGGGACACAGCAUAGCAUAAGACCAAGUAACACUUCCUGGGUGUUGUCAGAUGUGGUGAAUGCUGCUGCUGAGCACCAUCCAGCGGAAGGGCAGCUCAUAAAAACGUGGCAGUGCGUCCUCAUCCACCUUGUUCACCAGAUCUGGCGCUGUGUGACUUCUGUCUCUCCCCCAACAUCAGAUGACUAAGGUAAACAUUUUGAAUUGAUUCCGGACAUAAAGGCAG